GCCAGGUUGGCCGAGCGGUCUGAGGCGCCAGAUUUAAGCUCUGGUUCUCGAUGGGAGCGUGGGUUCGAACCCCACACCUGACA
rnacentral:tRNA from 1 species